rnacentral:sRNA from 1 species
GUGGUAGAGUGCUUGCCUAGCAAGCGCAAGGCCCUGGGUUCGGUCCCCAGCUCCAAAAAAAAAGAAAAGACUGUGAGUGUAACUGAAGAAUGGCUCUACUGUGGUGAUUAGGAUGCAAUGAAGUCAUUAGUAUAAACACCAAUCCUGUCUGUCUGGUAUGCCUUGUAAGAUGAGGAGAUCAGAACACAGAGAGCCAAUUCUGUGAGAGAUGAUCUUGGUAAGACACAAGAAAAAGAGCCAGGCAGAGAGGCCUCUCUUGACCAGCCUGGCUCAUUCCUUGCUCUGGGAUAUCCAGCCUCCUCUGACAGAGGAGAAUACAUAUCUAUUCGUCUUCAGCUGCCCCUCUGUGACAUUUCACCAUGGCCAAAACCCACAGAAGGAAGAAGCCAUGAGGGGGCCGAUCGUGGUUCUCAAAUUCCUGGAGGUCUCCUGAAUUAAUGCCUGCACUCAACCCUCUGUGCACAAGCUCCCCGAGGUCAUGGCCAUUCACAGUCACUCGCAGAUGCCAGGCACCAGGGCUGCUCUCAAACAGACGGUCACCUCCAAAUCCAUAACAGGGGUCUAGUCCCCAGGGUCCCUCUCUAGGGAGGACUUUUCUUCUAAGUCCUUGUUACUUUUGGGAAGGGUGACCUCCAUUUCCUUCCACUGGAUUCUGCACAUCAGGAGAAUAAGUUCAGACUCUCGGGAGCAGGGGAGGUGACGGGAACUCCCAGAUGGAUAAGGACCCGGCCUGUGCCGAUUCGUUCUCAUUCAGCACCGUGGUCGCAACAUCCCAAUAUAGUCAUUAUUGCGGUUUCGCUUUCUGUAGCCGCAUUAUAAUGCGAGCUUAUGUUCAAUUUGCUGGGAGCCAGCAAAUCGCCGUCUGCUUUUUCUCAGCACACACUCAUUUGCUGCGUGCCCUAGGUGUUUCUUAAAGUCUAGGUUUUACACAUAGACAAAUUAAAUCUUGUUUUUGAAUGCGUCCCUCUCCAGAACCGACAUAAUGUGUUUUAAUAGCCGUCGCACCUCUCGGGGCUGGGAGCUCACCAUCAUCUGCAUUUUCAAGCAGCACAUUACUUACAGGGACAUGUCCUCGAUGCCAGUAAUGAAGCCAGUGAAUGGAGUGCGCUCUAUGCAGGGCCUCGUUGCCUCUCUCUCUGCUGCCCCUGCUCCUUGGAGGGUGGUGUCAGAAAGAGUCCUUCCUUUGUUCGCUGCAUUUUUUAUUCAUUCCACUGACAACUGAAUGUGUCUUAGUGUCUUCCCUGGGGGCACCCUCAGGCAGGAGCAGGACACAAUGUCAGCAGGUACAUGCAGGUGAUAAGGCCAUGGCUUAAGAGUAAACCAGGACAUGGAGGGGCCAGGAACUGGCACCUAAAAAAUGGCUUUCCUAGACCAGAAACACACAGGUGCCUACAGGAGUAUAGGUGCCUUUAGGAGUAUAGGCAUUCUGUACUCACUCAUCCACCAGGAUGCCAAGGGACACCAGGAGCAGGUGCCAUUGAUGGAGUCACAUCCCCACCAAAUACAUCCUCAGAAGCACUCACUAGAAAAGCUUUGUACUCAGAGGUGAGCCAUGAGAGGUUAUUUAGGUCACGUGACAGACCAUGAUGGCAGGGCCACAACCCUAUAAAGGAAGUGUGAAGGAUUUAUGGACUCUCUUUAGUUCAUCGUGCAAACACACAGUGACAGGAACCCGUCUGGAACCCAAGCAGAGAGCCUUCACAGGGCCCUGGCCAGGAUGUUGGACCUCCAGGACUAUUUGUGGCCUGGCCUGUGCACUUUCGAUAUAACCUCCAAGUUGACAUGGGCAGUGGACACUCUGCUGUCUCACUUGGGCCAAGACAACAGAGCUCAGAUGCUGAGGCAAUCGAGAGGUGGCUGUGACACAGGCCUACAGGUGUGAAACCAUCUGAGGAGUCCAUACAUGAGCUUGUGAUCCAAGGCCUCUCUCAGGGUAACUGGGGCCUGCAUAUCACUAGAUUGCUGUUUCUGGCCUUGAUCUCAGCUAGGGACAUGGUCUUGACCAUGGUGGAUACAGACCUCCUUUAACCUUCGUGUUCUUCAGAGUCCUCCAUGUCUGGUGUGACAGCUUUGUGCAAUGAGAUGACUUUGUACAAUGAGAAGCAGAGAACCACAAAGGAAAAGAUGGGGAGCUGUGAGGCUCACAAUGGCACAAGACACGUCACCUGUCUCAUCGGGAAGGCUGACAGGUCACCCGACAGAGGCAGUGCUGAGCUAAUGACAACACAUGAGUGGGACCUUCUUUCUUUCUUUUCCAUGUUUCUGGGGUUUGUUCAAGGCACACUUGUCUACAGCAUCUUUUCUGUUUUAAACACACUCAGCCUAUGACAGGUGAAGAACAGAGAGCUUUCCCUGCAUAUGGGCUGGGAGAGUCUCCUCAUCCCUGUGUCCCUCUCUCCUCCUCACCCCUUGUACCUUUGCAGUUUGUAAUAUUCUGGGGCCUCCCCACAGGAGAGGAGGCUGUCCCAGAAGUAUGUAAGUGUCUGGCAUGGGGCUGUGGAGAGUUUCAGCAAAUCCCCAACGAGGCGGUAGCCAGAUGUUUCUAGCCACAUUAGUGGCUAAAGAGGAACUCAAGCCUAUUGUUUCUAACUGAUCUGCUCCACUCUCUUGGGGCCAGGACACUUGGCAGUGUCCUAACCAUUCACCCUUACUCUCUUGUCCUCUUCCCACAGUAUCUCCCCAGUGUCAGGACUGAGAUGAUUGACCCUUCCGCCAAUGGGGUGUGAUUGCAACCCACAGACCACAUCCCUGUUAGAAAGUUCUGGAUGCCAGCGGGCAGGAGUGAAUUACUUUCGCAAGCUGAGAUCCCCCAUGGACUUGAAAAUCAAUAAGCUAUUUCUGACGCUCAGGACGCGGAGGUGCGUGGCAGACUUGAGCUUCGACCUCAUUGGGAAGUGGAUGUUCUCGCCGCUGCCCAGGACUGAGCAAGCUCCCCACAUUCUGGGGGGAAAGUAACACAGGCCAGAGUCAUUACCAUCUGUUGCUGGGUGGUAAUGGGGAGAGGGCGGAGGGCAGUGAGCUCCUGUGUCUAGCCCAAGCUUGAAGACUUGAGCUUUCUGUCCAGCACAAGCUUGAAGACUUGAGCUCUCUGUGCCCUAGUUUCUUUUCCUGAGGAUGAAUCUAAGGCAUGGACAGGCCACAUGUUCUUUGUUCCCUGCUUGUUACUUGCCAUGUGGUGAGCCCUGUAAGAUGUCAGCUAUAUGGACCACCAUUCCUGCAACUCCAAACUACUCCCAGAGAAGGGAGCCACAAGGUGACUGGUGAUCAGCUCCACAGACCUGGAAUAGCAGCCUGUUACACAGAGGGGACUGCCUUUCCUAUAGACCUGUAUCUUGGGAAGAAAUGCCAGGAUUCCAUUACGAUGAGAAAGCCAAUGACAGGACCCUAGGACCCUCUAGGUCCUACUUAUAGAGCCCUUGUUUCCACAUGCUUUCCCAAGGCUACCAGAAGGCCAUCUGAUCUAGCACUACAGGACCUGCUUAAGUCAAAUGAGGGUAAUUGGGACCUGGUCCUCUUGCUUUUCUUGGACAGACCUACCAACUACAGAGAAGGGAAAUCCUUGCAAACAUAAGAGAUGCUUCUGGACCUUGUGGCCUUUGUUGCUUUGGUCCCCCUCCUGAGCUUGAGGCCGUCCCUUUGUCCAGGUGGGGAUGCCUAGAGGUCUGGAUGUGUAGCAGACCAAAACCUACAGCAGCUCCUACACCAGACGCUGAGCCUAUAUGCUCCCCUGCAGCCAAGUGCUGGCUCUUGAUCUUCAGCCAUUUCCCUGGCAUUUAGAGGGAAGUAAAGCUGCCUCUCCUAGGUUCUCAGGCUAA